rnacentral:rRNA from 1 species
UACAGAGGUCUCAAGCGUUGUUCGGAUUCAUUGGGCGUAAAGGGUGUGUAGGUGGCGCCGUAAGUCGGGUGUGAAAUUUCGGAGCUUAACUCCGAAACUGCAUUCGAUACUGCCGUGCUUGAGGACUGGAGAGGAGACUGGAAUUUACGGUGUAGCGGUGAAAUGCGUAGAUACCGUAAGGAAGACCAGUGGCGAAGGCGGGUCUCUGGACAGUUCCUGACGCUGAGGCACGAAGGUCAGGGGAGCAAACGGG